rnacentral:misc_RNA from 1 species
GAUGAAGAACGUAGCGAAAUGCGAUAAGUAAUGUGAAUUGCAGAAUUCAGUGAAUCAUCGAAUCUUUGAACGCAUCUUGCGCUCCUUGGUAUUCUGAGGAGCAUGCCUGUUUGAGUGUCAUUAAAUUCUCAACUACACUGACUUUGAAUUGGUGUGGCUUGGAUUUGGGGGGAAAAUUGUUGUGGGCUUUUUGUAUAGUCUGCUCCCCUGAAAUUGAUUAGCGGUACCUUUGUGGAACUGUCUACAGGUGUGAUAAUCAUCUACAUCUUAGACAUCUGCUGGAAUGCUGCUUUCUAAACCUUACUUGUAUUGACAAUCUUGACCUCAAAUCAGGUAGGACUACCCGCUGAACUUAAGCAUAUCAAUAAGCGGAGGA